rnacentral:rRNA from 1 species
UACGUAGGGGGCGAGCGUUUGUCCGGAUUCAUUGGGCGUAAAGAGCUCGUAGGCGGCUUGUCAAGUCGGGUGUGAAACCUCCAGGCUCAACCUGGAGACGCCACUCGAGACUGUCAUGGCUAGAGUCCGGUAGGGGAUCACGGAAUUCCUGGUGUAGCGGUGAAAUGCGCAGAUAUCAGGAGGAACACCAAUGGCGAAGGCAGCACUCUGGGACGUGACUGACGCUGAGACGCGAAAGCGUGGGGAGCAAACAGG